GACAGAGGUGCCGAGCGUUAGGCGGAAUCACUGGGCUUAAAAGGCGUGUGUAGGCGGGUCGUUAAGUGCCUUGUGAAAUUCCCAACAGCUGCACCUGUCGGAACUGCUUGGCAAUACUGGCGAUCUUGAGCCACUUAGGGGCAACCGGAACAAACAGGUGGGAAGCGGUGAAAUGCGUAGAAUAUCGUUUGGAACGCCAAUGGUGAAAACAGGUUCGCUGGGAGUGUGCUGACGCUGAGACACGAAAGCCAGGGGAGCAAACGGGG
rnacentral:rRNA from 1 species